rnacentral:rRNA from 1 species
AAACUGAAGAGUUUGAUCCUGGCUCAGAUUGAACGCUGGCGGCAUGCCUUACACAUGCAAGUCGAACGGCAGCACGGGUGCUUGCACCUGGUGGCGAGUGGCGAACGGGUGAGUAAUACAUCGGAACAUGUCCUGUAGUGGGGGAUAGCCCGGCGAAAGCCGGAUUAAUACCGCAUACGAUCUACGGAUGAAAGCGGGGGACCUUCGGGCCUCGCGCUAUAGGGUUGGCCGAUGGCUGAUUAGCUAGUUGGUGGGGUAAAGGCCUACCAAGGCGACGAUCAGUAGCUGGUCUGAGAGGACGACCAGCCACACUGGGACUGAGACACGGCCCAGACUCCUACGGGAGGCAGCAGUGGGGAAUUUUGGACAAUGGGCGAAAGCCUGAUCCAGCAAUGCCGCGUGUGUGAAGAAGGCCUUCGGGUUGUAAAGCACUUUUGUCCGGAAAGAAAUCCUUGGUUCUAAUAUAGCCGGGGGAUGACGGUACCGGAAGAAUAAGCACCGGCUAACUACGUGCCAGCAGCCGCGGUAAUACGUAGGGUGCGAGCGUUAAUCGGAAUUACUGGGCGUAAAGCGUGCGCAGGCGGUUUG